AGAUGAAGAGUUGUCUUACCUCCAAGUCCACUACUGGAGAGUGUGAUGCGCUGGGAGAAGAUGUUUAUCAGCAUUUUAUUAAGUGCUGCUUGAGAGAAACAGGAUAAAACUAUCACCAUUAAGCACUUUGAAACAGGACCCAAAAGCCACUGGUUUUCAUUGCUAAAAUCAAGAGUAACACCAGAGGGCAUUUCUGUUAAAGAGUGAGGUGGAAGAAAGUAAGGUUGAAUGCAGCCAGUCUUUUUAGAGGGUAAAAAAAAAAGUGUGAGCAGAGACCAGCAGGUGAAAAGUCUGCAGCCACCUGGAUGUGCGUGCCCCGGGGAAAAUGGUUGCGGAUGGCUUUGCUGCUUUCGUCUGGAUUGAUCUUAUAAAUCGUAAUGAGUCACAUUAGUAAAACAAAAACAAAAACAAAAAGCUUUA